rnacentral:rRNA from 1 species
UACGUAGGGGGCUAGCGUUGUCCGGAAUCAUUGGGCGUAAAGAGCGUGUAGGCGGUCCGGUAAGUCCGCUGUGAAAGUCCAGGGCUCAACCCUGGAAUGCCGGUGGAUACUGUCGGGCUAGAGUCCGGAAGGGGCGAGUGGAAUUCCUGGUGUAGCGGUGAAAUGCGCAGAUAUCAGGAGGAACACCAAUGGCGAAGGCAGCUCGCUGGGACGUGACUGACGCUGAGACGCGAAAGCGUGGGGAGCAAACAGG